rnacentral:rRNA from 1 species
UACGAAGGGUGCAAGCGUUGUUCGGAAUUAUUGGGCGUAAAGGGUUCGUAGGCGGAACUGUAAGUCAAGUGUGAAAUCCCCGGGCUCAACCCGGGACGUGCACUUGAAACUGCGGUUCUUGAAUGUUGGAGAGGGUAGUGGAAUUGCUGGUGUAGGAGUGACAUCCGUAGAGAUCAGCAGGAACACCAGAGGCGAAAGCGACUACCUGGCCGACUAUUGACGCUGAGGAACGAAAGCGUGGGGAGCAAACAGGAUUAGAAACCCCGGUAGU